GACGAACGCUGGCGGCGUGCCUAACACAUGCAAGUCGAACGGGGUUGAGCCCUUCGGGACUCAACUUAGUGGCGAACGGGUGAGUAACGCGUGAGAAACCUGCCUUUCAGUGGGGGACAACAGUUGGAAACGACUGCUAAUACCGCAUAACGUAUUUAGGGGGCAUCCCUUGAAUACCAAAGCUUUAUGUGCUGAAAGAUGGUCUCGCGUCUGAUUAGCUAGAUGGCGGGGUAACGGCCCACCAUGGCGACGAUCAGUAGCCGGUCUGAGAGGAUGAACGGCAACAUUGGGACUGAGAUACGGCCCAGACUCCUACGGGAGGCAGCAGUGGGGAAUAUUGGGCAAUGGGGGAAACCCUGACCCAGCAACGCCGCGUGAAGGAAGAAGGCCUUCGGGUUGUAAACUUCUUUUAGUAGGGACGAAGAACGUGACGGUACCUACAGAAAAAGCAACGGCUAACUACGUGCCAGCCGCCGCGGUAAAAC
rnacentral:rRNA from 1 species